rnacentral:lncRNA from 12 species
AAGCAAUCUCACUCCUGAUGAGUUGCUGUUGUACUAAUUACCACAGAAGGAGAACAGCCUUGCCCUUAAUAGGUCACAGCUAUGUCUAAUAAGGUUGGCUGUUAUAAAAGAGCAGGUUAGCUGGCAAAGGAGUUGGAGUUUGAUGGAGGGGCACUUUGCUAGCUGUGAGGAGGAAGGAUCAGGCUGUUGUGUAAGGGACAGGAAGGAGUUAGCUGGCCCUGCAGAAGGAAAAGGAAUGGAGAGGAGUCAAUGCUGUGUGAAGCUGUCAGAGAAUAUGCACAGACAAGGUUUCUCAGCUGCAGCCAGUUAUCUAGGUACUCAGUGGUAAAACUGGAGGAAAAGGACUUCACCAAGAAUAUUUUCAGGCCUUAUAAGAUGGCUACCUGAAUUUGUGGUGAAAAUCAGUCCACUGGCUGUAUAGUCUGAAAGGAGGAUAGACAAAGCAGAUGUAUGGAUCAGGACAGACUCUAUACAGGAAAUUCCUCACCAGGCUGUGUCUUCUGUAUCUGUGAAUGCACUCUUAAUGUGGACACCAGUGGAAUAACAAAGAAGAAGACGUAAAUACUGUGUGAAUUUAUAUGUGCUGUUGUGGCAUCUACCUCAAAAUAUCAAAUUAAAAUAAGU